AAACCAACAGGGAUUGCCCUAGUAACGGCGAGUGAAGCGGCAACAGCUCAAAUUUGAAAUCUGGCCCUAGGUCCGAAUUGUAAUUUGUAGAGGAUGCUUUUGGUUAGGUUCCUUCCGAGUGCCCUGGAACGGGACGCCUUAGAGGGUGAGAGCCCCGUACGGUUGGAUACCAAGCCUCUGUAAAGCUCCUUCGACGAGUCGAGUAGUUUGGGAAUGCUGCUCUAAAUGGGAGGUAAAUUUCUUCUAAAGCUAAAUAUUGGCCAGAGACCGAUAGCGCACAAGUAGAGUGAUCGAAAGAUGAAAAGUACUUUGAAAAGAGGGUUAAACAGCACGUGAAAUUGUUGAAAGGGAAGCGUUUAUGACCAGACUUUUUCCAGGCGGAUCAUCCGGUGUUCUCACCGGUGCACUUUGCCUGGUUCAGGCCAGCAUCGGUUUCUGUGGGGGGAUAAAAUCAGCAGGAAUGUGGCUCCCUCGGGAGUGUUAUAGCCUGUUGAAUAAUACCUUUAUGGGGACCGAGGUUCGCGCUCUGCAAGGAUGCUGGCGUAAUGGUCAUCAACGAC
rnacentral:rRNA from 1 species